rnacentral:rRNA from 1 species
AGAGUUUGAUCCUGGCUCAGGACGAACGCUGGCGGCACGCUUAACACAUGCAAGUCGAACGAGAGAAGAGGAGCUUGCUUUUCUGAUCUAGUGGCGGACGGGUGAGUAACACGUGAGCAAUCUGCCUUUCAGAGGGGGAUACCGAUUGGAAACGAUCGUUAAUACCGCAUAACAUAAUUGAACCGCAUGAUUUGAUUAUCAAAGAUUUAUCGCUGAAAGAUGAGCUCGCGUCUGAUUAGCUAGUUGGUAAGGUAACGGCUUACCAAGGCGACGAUCAGUAGCCGGACUGAGAGGUUGAUCGGCCACAUUGGGACUGAGACACGGCCCAGACUCCUACGGGAGGCAGCAGUGGGGAAUAUUGCACAAUGGAGGAAACUCUGAUGCAGCGAUGCCGCGUGAGGGAAGAAGGUUUUAGGAUUGUAAACCUCUGUCUUCAGGGACGAAAAAAGACGGUACCUGAGGAGGAAGCUCCGGCUAACUACGUGCCAGCAGCCGCGGUAAUACGUAGGGAGCGAGCGUUGUCCGGAAUUACUGGGUGUAAAGGGAGCGUAGGCGGGAUCGCAAGUCAGAUGUGAAAACUAUGGGCUUAACCCAUAAACUGCAUUUGAAACUGUGGUUCUUGAGUGAAGUAGAGGUAAGCGGAAUUCCUAGUGUAGCGGUGAAAUGCGUAGAUAUUAGGAGGAACAUCAGUGGCGAAGGCGGCUUACUGGGCUUUAACUGACGCUGAGGCUCGAAAGCGUGGGGAGCAAACAGGAUUAGAUACCCUGGUAGUCCACGCCGUAAACGAUGAUUACUAGGUGUGGGGGGACUGACCCCUUCCGUGCCGCAGCAAACGCAAUAAGUAAUCCACCUGGGGAGUACGACCGCAAGGUUGAAACUCAAAGGAAUUGACGGGGGCCCGCACAAGCAGUGGAGUAUGUGGAUUAAUUCGAAGCAACGCGAAGAACCUUACCAGGUCUUGACAUCGUAUGCAUAGCUCAGAGAUGAGUGAAAUCUCUUCGGAGACAUAUAGACAGGUGGUGCAUGGUUGUCGUCAGCUCGUGUCGUGAGACGUUAGGUUAAGUCCCGCAACGAGCGCAACCCUUACUGUUAGUUGCUACGCAAGAGCACUCUAGCAGGACUGCCGUUGACAAAACGGAGGAAGGUGGGGAUGACGUCAAAUCAUCAUGCCCCUUAUGACCUGGGCCUCACACGUACUACAAUGGCUGUCAACAGAGGAAGAAAAGCCGCGAGGUGGAGCGAACCCCUAAAAGCAGUCUUAGUUCGGAUUGUAGGCUGCAACCCGCCUACAUGAAGUCGGAAUUGCUAGUAAUCGCAGAUCAGCAUGCUGCGGUGAAUACGUUCCCGGGCCUUGUACACACCGCCCGUCACGCCAUGGGAGUCGGUAACACCCGAAGCCUGUAGUCUAACCGCAAGGAGGACGCAGUCGAAGGUGGGAUUGAUGACUGGGGUGAAGUCGUAACAAGGUAGCCGUAUCGGAAGGUGCGGCUG